AUGGGCAUAACGUCUAAGCAGCCCCGCGGCGGAUGCGCACAAGGUUUAGCGCGCAGCUGGAAACGCUCUAAGUACUGUUGCGAAACGUACUGCAUAGACGCCCCCCGCGACGCCGAGAGGAGAGCUAGGCCUACUCUGCACCGAGCCUGCGAGCUCCCGACCUUCCGGAAGGCUUGGGCCACGAGCACGGAGCACCGAAGCAGGGUUUCUGGCCUUUGGGGGCAGCCCUGGCCGAAAGGUCCAGAAGCGAGGACCCCCAAACGCCUCGAUCCCCCCGCGCAAUCACACCCAGAAAGCUCUAGGGGUGAAAUUGACAGAGGCCGGCCCUGGGGGUGCAACUGACAGUGGUUCCUGGUGGAAAAGUUCCGGGCAAUUGUUUCCGCCAGGGCCCUGUUUUCCUGGUCGCCAUGGCAACCCUGGAGUCCCCACGAACGCCCUCCACAAUCGGGCGCUUGGAGGACAAUCGCCGCGCACNCCCCAAACGCCUCGAUCCCCCGGCGCAAUCACACCCAGAAAGCUCUAGGGGUGAAAUUGACAGAGGCCGGCCCUGGGGGUGCAACUGACAGUGGUUCCUGGUGGAAAAGUUCCGGGCAAUUGUUUCCGCCAGGGCCCUGUUUUCCUGGUCGCCAUGGCAACCCUGGAGUCCCCACGAACGCCCUCCACAAUCGGGCGCUUGGAGGACAAUCGCCGCGCACUUUUGCCGCGCUCCUUGAGGCCUGCAAGGCGCUUCCGCCCUCCGCUCUGGGUUUUCCGGAGCCUCCCUAGUGAGUUCAGCACCGCAGGGAUUGAAAAACUCUCCUUUUUUAAACAGGGGAGAAAAUCGCGAUUUAGGAGAAUCACUGCCAGGUAGGUUUGGGUCUCCAGCAAAAGCUCACGCUUUGAGUUGAAAGCGAUGCACUCAGAGACGCGCACGCGGGCAGCCGGUAGAAUACUUUUCAUCCAAACCCUGAUCGCGAACGUCUCAGCCAGGGACCCGGAACUCACGGAGUCUCUUCACUUAAGCCGAUCACCCCCACGGGUACCCGAGGUUCCCCGCGUGGGUCUGGGCAACCUCGUCGCCUGCCUGGAAGAACGUCUCCUAAAUGGGAGGAGGAAAGUCGGAAACUAAAAUUCAUGUCUGCAGGGUCUUACUGAAAAAAAACAAUAAAUUAUACUCCUUUCCUGCA
rnacentral:lncRNA from 1 species